rnacentral:rRNA from 1 species
UUCCGGAGAGGGAGCUGAGAAACGGCUACCACAUCUAAGGAAGGCAGCAGGGCGUAAAUUACCCAAUCCAUGAUUCAGGGAGGUAGUGACAAGAAAUAACAACCUGGGGGUCUUUGCCCUUACGGGAUUGCAAUGAGAACAAUUUAAAUGACUUAGCGAGGAACAAUUGGAGGGCAAGUCAUGGUGCCAGCAGCCGCGGUAAUUCCAGCUCCAAUAGCGUAUAUAUAAAGUUGUUGCAGUUAAAAAGCUCGUAGUUGAACUUCUGUACGUGUUCUGUUCUGGCUCCGGUCAAGCAUGUUACGCGUGCUUCCGCUUGCAAACUAGUCUCGUCCUUAACUGGUCGUUCUAGGGAGUAAGCCCUUUACUUUGAAAAAAUUAGAGUGUUUCAGGCAGGCAAUGGCUCGAAUACAUUAGCAUGGAAUAAUGGAAUAGGACUUUUGUCCAUUUGGUUGGUUAUUGGACAUAAGUAAUGAUUAACAGGGACAGUUGGGGGCAUUAGUAUUUAAUUGUCAGAGGCGAAAUUCUUGGAUUUAUUAAAGACUAACUUAUGCGA